AUCGAGGAACCUUUUACAGAAGUGGCUCCAGGAGCAUCCACAUCUGCCUCUCGGGGCCCUCGGGGCCCACGGGGCCCAGGCCAGCUACAGAAGCACCCUGCUUUCCAUGGGAAAAUGCUGCAAAUGGGGGAGAAAGGAGAGAAGGGUUUCAGAGUGGAAAGACCCUUCAACAUCAGCUAGCACCAAGUUCCAUUAUGUAAAUAAACUGAAGGACUUCAGACCGGGAGUGAAGCCAAGCAGACCUCCCCACUGUCACUGUCCAGCCUGAAGCCGCCCUGGUGAAGCAGGUGGAGGAGCAGCUCCAUGCCCGGCUCUCCGGCCUCCCUCCCUCAGCUCCAGGGCACUCACGUGCUUGAAACAGCUGACGGGAGCAGCCUUGUAACUGUGAUCCUUCAGGAACUUCCCCCAGUCGAAGCCCAAGACCAGAGCUGCAGAGCAGAAAGAGGACGAGUCAGACUGGGAGCCUGCGCAGCAGCCACUCCAGGAGCCUGGACCCCAAGGGCCCUGUGGGACCUGCAGAGGGGACACUCUGAAGGCACCUGGCUCAGAACCACUGCCAUCCAAGGAGCGAGGAGUCCCGGGGCUGAGCAAAUGCAGCGGGGAGGUCGGCAGUUCCCCUGCUUCCCGAUCCUCAUUUUCUGCUUCACUUGACUCCUCCAGAUAGGAGCUGCUCUCACUGCCCACACUGCUGUUAUAACUCCGGAAACUAUCAUAGCCACCAAACAGCUCCAAGUCAUCAUCUUCCUCUUCUUCCAUUGGUUCUGAAGAUGGGGUCUCCUAAUGGAGGAUGA
rnacentral:antisense_RNA from 1 species